rnacentral:rRNA from 1 species
AACUUCAUGGAGAGUUUGAUCCUGGCUCAGGACGAACGCUGGCGGCGUGCCUAAUACAUGCAAGUCGAGCGGACCGACGGGAGCUUGCUCCCUUAGGUCAGCGGCGGACGGGUGAGUAACACGUGGGUAACCUGCCUGUAAGACUGGGAUAACUCCGGGAAACCGGGGCUAAUACCGGAUGCUUGAUUGAACCGCAUGGUUCAAUCAURAAAGGCGGCUUCGGCUGCCGUUUACAGAUGGACCCGCGGCGCAUUAGCUAGUUGGUGAGGUAACGGCUCACCAAGGCGACGAUGCGUAGCCGACCUGAGAGGGUGAUCGGCCACACUGGGACUGAGACACGGCCCAGACUCCUACGGGAGGCAGCAGUAGGGAAUCUUCCGCAAUGGACGAAAGUCUGACGGAGCAACGCCGCGUGAGUGAUGAAGGUUUUCGGAUCGUAAAGCUCUGUUGUUAGGGAAGAACAAGUACCGUUCGAAUAGGGCGGUACCUUGACGGUACCUAACCAGAAAGCCACGGCUAACUACGUGCCAGCAGCCGCGGUAAUACGUAGGUGGCAAGCGUUGUCCGGAAUUAUUGGGCGUAAAGCGCGCGCAGGCGGUUUCUUAAGUCUGAUGUGAAAGCCCCCGGCUCAACCGGGGAGGGUCAUUGGAAACUGGGGAACUUGAGUGCAGAAGAGGAGAGUGGAAUUCCACGUGUAGCGGUGAAAUGCGUAGAGAUGUGGAGGAACACCAGUGGCGAAGGCGACUCUCUGGUCUGUAACUGACGCUGAGGCGCGAAAGCGUGGGGAGCGAACAGGAUUAGAUACCCUGGUAGUCCACGCCGUAAACGAUGAGUGCUAAGUGUUAGAGGGUUUCCGCCCUUUAGUGCUGCAGCAAACGCAUUAAGCACUCCGCCUGGGGAGUACGGUCGCAAGACUGAAACUCAAAGGAAUUGACGGGGGCCCGCACAAGCGGUGGAGCAUGUGGUUUAAUUCGAAGCAACGCGAA